rnacentral:tRNA from 1 species
GGUGGGGUGCCGGAGCGGUCAAUCGGAGCAGACUGUAAAUCUGCCGGCCAUGCGCCUACGAAGGUUCGAAUCCUUCCCCCACCA